rnacentral:rRNA from 1 species
AUUGAACGCUGGCGGCAGGCCUAACACAUGCAAGUCGAACGAGUGGCGGACGGGUGAGUAACGUCUGGGAACCUGCCUGAUGGAGGGGGAUAACUACUGGAAACGGUAGCUAAUACCGCAUACCAUCAGAUGUGCCCAGAUGGGAUUAGCAAGUUGGUGGGGUAACGGCUCACCAAGGCGACGAUCCCUAGCUGGUCUGAGAGGAUGACCAGCAACAAUGGAACGGAUACACUUGCCAGACUCCUACAGUAGGCAGAAGUGGGGAAUAUUGCACAAGGGGCGGAAGCCUGAUGCAGCCAUGCCGCGUGUAUGAAGAAGGCCGUCGGGUUUUAAAGUACUUUCAGCAGGGAGGCGUUACCCGCAGAAAAAGCACCGGCUAACUCCGUGCCAGCAGCCGCGGUAAUAC